rnacentral:rRNA from 1 species
CCUACGGGAGGCAGCAGUGGGGAACAUUGGACAAUGGGCGAAAGCCUGAUCCAGCCAUGCCGCGUGUGUGAAGAAGGCCUUCGGAUUGUAAAGCACUUUAAGUUGGGAGGAAGGGCAGUAAGCUAAUACCUUGCUGUUUUGACGUUACCCGCAGAAGAAGCACCGGCUAACUCCGUGCCAGCAGCCGCGGUAAU